CACUCCUUCUAAAGAGCAUUUGCUGGUUGCAGAGAGACUGAUCUCAGACCAGCUAAACAUUCCUGCCUUCUUGGAUGACCUCAUCGGGAGGGGGGACAACAUCAAGAGGCUAGAACAGUGGUCUCCAACCCUGGUCCAGGAGAGCUACUGGGUCUGCUGGCUUUUGUUUUCACCCUGCUGAGGCCCAGGUAACCAGGUGAGAUCCAAGAUGGCUGUGUAUUCUACUGCCGAGGAUGCUGGGUGAAUAACCUUUACCCCCUGACCCCACCGUGACUUCAAAAGACACGUCCAGUGUGGAGAGUUCUGUCAAAAAAUCUCCGGUUCUGUCCUUCCACUACUCGACUGCCUGCCGAUAUUUCCGAGAGGAUGUGGCUGAGGAGACAUUGUAGUGCCAGGGAUUCUGCAGCAAAGAAAACUUCUGAGACAUCUGAAGAACUCGACUAAGAAUACCUUCCUCUUUCCAAGCAGCCAACUUCAAACAGCCUCCUUGAAUGCACAAUAUCUGAAUACGGUCGAGGAAUAAUCUUGGAGAGUAGCCAAGUGGAUUCGCUACUUUGAUGGUUCCGAUUGUGUUUCGUUUCAUGAAAUAAAAUCGUUAUCUUUACAUGAAAGCUUA